AGCGAACGCUGGCGGCAGGCCUAACACAUGCAAGUCGAACGAACUCUUCGGGGUUAGUGGCGGACGGGUGAGUAACACGUGGGAACGUGCCUUUUGGUUCGGAAUAACUCACGGAGACUUAUGCUAAUACCGAAUGUGCCCUUCGGGGGAAAGAUUUAUCGCCAUGAGAGCGGCCCGCGUCUGAUUAGCUGGUUGGUGAGGUAACGGCUCACCAAGGCGUCGAUCAGUAGCUGGUCUGAGAGGAUGACCAGCCACACUGGGACUGAGACACGGCCCAGACUCCUACGGGAGGCAGCAGUGGGGAAUAUUGCGCAAUGGGCGAAAGCCUGACGCAGCCAUGCCGCGUGAAUGAUGAAGGUCUUAGGAUUGUAAAAUUCUUUCGCCGGGGACGAUAAUGACGGUACCCGGAGAAGAAGCCCCGGCUAACUUCGUG
rnacentral:rRNA from 1 species